UAGUGUAGUUUGUAGGAGUGUGUGCAGGAUAGAUUAUAAUUCAUCUUCACAGGUCAGAGCAGAGGAUUGUGUGGCUCAGGUUUUUGAGUUUUGAGUAGGUGUCAAUAUCCAAACACCACAUAGAUCAAGAGAAGGGUGCAGGUCGUCAAUAUUUCAGGCCAUCCUCUGUAUUCACUACUGAACAAGAGGAACAUAGAAGAUGCUGUUUGAUCCCAGGAAAUCAACUCAACUCGUCUUUAUUUAUAGAGCACAUUUCACACAGUCAAGCAUGCAGCACAAAGUGCUUCACUAAAGAACUGGGAGACAGAAAACAACAGCGAGAGUCCGCAGUUAGACCAGAGAUGGAUGACCUGGGAGACGUGUUGACUGGGAUGAUUGAAAGCCAACAACCCUUGGAAGGUAUCCCUGAUGAUGAUCAUCUGGACAGUUCAGAAAAAGAUGACCUAAGCUUGAAUCAGGUGUUGGAGGAGCCAGAACAGAGUCAAGAAAAUCUGCCCUCUGCACCUGUGACAGCAGCAGUCAGUAUCGCUAUCCUAGGCGCCAGGCAGCAUGACAAGAGUGAAAAGGCUGACCAUUCAUGAGAAACUUGCAAUAGAGUUCCAUGAGUGCAAAUUACAAUAUUUAAGAGAAGAACAUGAACUCAAGAGGAAAAUCCUUCAUGUUGAGUUGGCUAUCAAAGAGCUGGAGAGAGACACGAAGCAGCAAGAACAGUGUUCUUCGUAACAAUUCCCCUGUUGACCAUGUGCCUUUUGUGAAUUCAAAAUGUUACAACGCAAUCACAACUCAACCAAAUAUGAUUCAGUGCUGAACCAUCUUCAUCUGUUCUCUUCAUCCUCACUAUUUUCAAAAUAUAACACAUAAUGUAGAAAACACCAAAUGUAAUGAAUAAAGCGAAAUU